UCCGGCUUAUCACCGGCAGUUUCCUUAGAGUGCCCAACUGAAUGCUGGCAACUAAGGACGAGGGCUGCGCUCGUUGCGGGACUUAACCCAACAUCUCACGACACGAGCUGACGACAGCCAUGCAGCACCUGUGCACCGACCGGCCGAGCCGAAGGACUCCCUUUCAGGUGUCCGCGUCGGGCAUGUCAAGCCCUGGUAAGGUUCUUCGCGUUGCCUCGAAUUAAACCACAUGCUCCACCGCUUGUGCGGGUCCCCGUCAAUUCCUUUGAGUUUUAACCUUGCGGCCGUACUCCCCAGGCGGAGUGCUUAUCGCGUUAGCUGCGACACCAAGGAUAACUCCCUGACAUCUAGCACUCAUCGUUUACGGCGUGGACUAC
rnacentral:misc_RNA from 1 species